CCCUUAGAUGUUCUGGGCCGCACGCGCGCUACACUGAUGCAUUCAACGAGCCUAUCCUUGACCGACAGGUCCGGGUAAUCUUUGAAUCUGCAUCGUGAAGGGGAUAGAUUAUUGCAAUUAUUAAUCUUCAACGAGGAAUGCCUAGUAGGCGCAAGUCAUCAGCUUGCGUCGAUUACGUCCCUGCCCUUUGUACACACCGCCCGUCGCUCCUACCGAUUGGGUGUGCUGGUGAAAUGUUCGGAUCGGCCGUUUGUCGCGGUUUCCGCGUCAUGUGGCUGAGAAGUUCAUUAAACCCUCCCACCUAGAGGAAGGAGAAGUCGUAACA
rnacentral:rRNA from 1 species